UACGUAGGGUGCGAGCGUUGUCCGGAAUUAUUGGGCGUAAAGAGCUCGUAGGCGGUUUGUUGCGUCUAUCGUGAAAACCUGCAGCUUAACUGUGGGCUUGCGGUGGAUACGGGCAGACUUGAGUUCGGUAGGGGAGACUGGAAUUCCUGGUGUAGCGGUGAAAUGCGCAGAUAUCAGGAAGAACACCAAUGGCGAAGGCAGCUCUCUGGGACGGUACUGACACUGAGACGCGAAAGCGUGGGGAGCGAACAGG
rnacentral:rRNA from 1 species